GGAAACCGUGACCUAGGACAAGCUGAUGGCAUAAAUUUAUUUGUGGAGGGGAAUUGGAAGCAGGAAAUCGCUGCACGUCAGCAGGUGAAAAGAAAAGAGAGGGAG